GAUGAACGCUGGCGGCGUGCCUAACACAUGCAAGUCGAGCGAAGCACUUACUUUAGAUUUCUUCGGAAUGACGAAGUUUGUGACUGAGCGGCGGACGGGUGAGUAACGCGUGGGCAACCUGCCCUGUACAGGGGGAUAACAGUUAGAAAUGACUGCUAAUACCGCAUAAGCCCACAGCUUCGCAUGAAGCAGUGGGAAAAACUCCGGUGGUACAGGAUGGGCCCGCGUCUGAUUAGCUAGUUGGUAAGGUAACGGCUUACCAAGGCGACGAUCAGUAGCCGACCUGAGAGGGUGACCGGCCACAUUGGGACUGAGACACGGCCCAAACUCCUACGGGAGGCAGCAGUGGGGAAUAUUGCACAAUGGGGGGAACCCUGAUGCAGCGACGCCGCGUGAGCGAUGAAGUAUUUCGGUAUGUAAAGCUCUAUCAGCAGGGAAGAAAGUGACGGUACCUGACUAAGAAGCCCCGGCUAACUACGUG
rnacentral:rRNA from 1 species